rnacentral:pre_miRNA from 8 species
GAACAGCAUUGUGGACGUGUGCAUCCAGGCUGAGGUAGUAGGUUGUAUGGUUUCGAAUGACACCAUGGGAGUUAACUGUACAACCUUCUAGCUUUCCUUGGAGUACACUCAUUUCAUCAAGGAAGAC